rnacentral:lncRNA from 1 species
AAACCAGGGCACUUGGAAUGUUUUGAGGGAGGCAGAUCUGUCCCCGUCAUGGAGCACUGACUACCAUCUUCCCUGAACUCUUACGUGAGGAAGAACAAACCUCUAAGGUUGUACAAGAAGCAUGGUACCAGCACCUGCUUCUGGUGAGGCCUCAGGCUGCUAUGAAGCAGAGUCAGCAUGUGCAGAGAUCGCUUGGCAAGAGAGGAAACAAGUAGGUGAGGAGAAGUGCCAGGCUCUUUGUAACAACCAGCUCCUGCAGGAACUGAAGAGUGAGAACACUCACCUCCACCCCACUGCGUUAAUCUAUUAAUAAGGCAUCCAUCCCCAUGACCCAAAUUAGGCCCCACCUCUAACAUUGGAAGUCAAAUUUUAGCAUG